rnacentral:sRNA from 1 species
CGUUUCUACAAAUGAUGAUGAUGAUGAUGAUCUUGGUGAUGUUUUUGAUUGGUACUAACGUGAUUACCAUGCGAACAUUACUGACGACCUCAUGAUUCUAUCAAUAUCAUGGGCCUCUUGAAAAUUUAUAUUCUGGUGCUAUGACCUUUGGGCUCUGGAAGGCCAUAUUCUGCAUCGAAAAUAAUUUUGCUGACAGGAUUCUCCAGAUGGCGAUGAAAGCAGUACAGUUCCAAAGGCUGAAGAACUGUAUUUUUUUUUUUUUGGUUUGCUGCUUAUUUCUAGUUUAGUUGAAACUUAGAACCAUAAUUCUAGUGCUUAGCAACACAGGGAUCUCAAUAUUUGUUGCUUGAAUCCUAGUUUCGUAGAUUACUUGCAGAGUAGUAAUGUAUAUAUUGCUCCAUCAU